GGCACUACGGUGCUGAAGCAACAAAUGCCCUGCUUCCAGGAAAAGCCUCUAAGCAUCAGGUAACAUCAAAUCGUACCCCAAACCGACACAGGUGGUCAGGUAGAGAAUACCAAGGCGCUUGAGAGAACUCGGGUGAAGGAACUAGGCAAAAUGGUGCCGUAACUUCGGGAGAAGGCACGCUGAUAUGUAGGUGAAGCGACUUGCUCGUGGAGCUGAAAUCAGUCGAAGAUACCAGCUGGCUGCAACUGUUUAUUAAAAACACAGCACUGUGCAAACACGAAAGUGGACGUAUACGGUGUGACGCCUGCCCGGUGCCGGAAGGUUAAUUGAUGGGGUCAGCGCAAGCGAAGCUCUUGAUCGAAGCCCCGGUAAACGGCGGCCGUAACUAUAACGGUCCUAAGGUAGCGAAAUUCCUUGUCGGGUAAGUUCCGACCUGCACGAAUGGCGUAAUGAUGGCCAGGCUGUCUCCACCCGAGACUCAGUGAAAUUGAACUCGCUGUGAAGAUGCAGUGUACCCGCGGCAAGACGGAAAGACCCCGUGAACCUUUACUAUAGCUUGACACUGAACAUUGAGCCUUGAUGUGUAGGAUAGGUGGGAGGCUUUGAAGUGUGGACGCCAGUCUGCAUGGAGCCGACCUUGAAAUACCACCCUUUAAUGUUUGAUGUUCUAACGUGGACCCGUAAUCCGGGUUGCGGACAGUGUCUGGUGGGUAGUUUGACUGGGGCGGUCUCCUCCUAAAGAGUAACGGAGGAGCACGAAGGUUGGCUAAUCCUGGUCGGACAUCAGGAGGUUAGUGCAAUGGCAUAAGCCAGCUUGACUGCGAGCGUGACGGCGCGAGCAGGUGCGAAAGCAGGUCAUAGUGAUCCGGUGGUUCUGAAUGGAAGGGCCAUCGCUCAACGGAUAAAAGGUACUCCGGGGAUAACAGGCUGAUACCGCCCAAGAGUUCAUAUCGACGGCGGUGUUUGGCACCUCGAUGUCGGCUCAUCACAUCCUGGGGCUGAAGUAGGUCCCAAGGGUAUGGCUGUUCGCCAUUUAAAGUGGUACGCGAGCUGGGUUUAGAACGUCGUGAGACAGUUCGGUCCCUAUCUGCCGUGGGCGCUGGAGAACUGAGGGGGGCUGCUCCUAGUACGAGAGGACCGGAGUGGACGCAUCACUGGUGUUCGGGUUGUCAUGCCAAUGGCACUGCCCGGUAGCUAAAUGCGGAAGAGAUAAGUGCUGAAAGCAUCUAAGCACGAAACUUGCCCCGAGAUGAGUUCUCCCUGACUCCUUGAGAGUCCUGAAGGAACGUUGAAGACGACGACGUUGAUAGGCCGGGUGUGUAAGCGCAGCGAUGCGUUGAGCUAACCGGUACUAAUGAACCGUGAGG
rnacentral:rRNA from 1 species